UACGGAGGGUGCAAACGUUGCUCGGAAUCAUUGGGCGUAAAGCGCACGUAGGCGGCUUGUUAAGUCGGGUGUGAAAUCCCUGGGCUCAACCCAGGAAGUGCACUCGAAACUGGCGAGCUUGAAUAUGGAAGAGGGUCGCGGAAUUCCCGGUGUAGAGGUGAAAUUCGUAGAUAUCGGGAGGAACACCAGUGGCGAAGGCGGCGAC
rnacentral:rRNA from 1 species